rnacentral:rRNA from 1 species
UACGGAGGGUGCAAGCGUUAAUCGGAAUUACUGGGCGUAAAGCGUGCGUAGGCGGUUCGUUAAGUCUGUUGUGAAAGCCCCGGGCUCAACCUGGGAAUGGCAAUGGAUACUGGCGAGCUAGAGUGUGUCAGAGGAUGGUGGAAUUCCCGGUGUAGCGGUGAAAUGCGUAGAGAUCGGGAGGAACAUCAGUGGCGAAGGCGGCCUGCUGGGCAGUGGCUGACACUGAGGCGCGACAGCGUGGGGAGCAAACAGG